AUCCUUUUAUAUAGUUCAUGAUCAUGAUUAGGUGUUCAUGCACGUAUGUGAAAGAUGCCACCCUUGAACCUUGUUACUAUUAAUACGUCAGCACAUUACCUGUCUGACC
rfam:Homo sapiens chromosome 11, GRCh38 reference primary assembly.